GAAGCCAUUGCAACUGCACAAAAAAUGAAAACACGAAAGAGACCAAAAAAUCAAUGGUGGCUUAGGGUUCACAAAACACAAAAUGAAUAAAUAACGCCAAAGAGAACAAUGCGAGAAGGGGACGAAAUGAUACAGAAAGAGAACCCACAUAAUGCGAGAAGGGGACGAAAUGACAAAACACACACACAACGCCAAAGCCACCCAAAAAGGGAAUAGAGGAAAUAGAGCUUACCUUGCGAAAGAUAGUUUUUUUGGGGUUGAGAUGAGAUGAACGGUACAACAGAGAAAUCAAAGGAUUGAAGAGAUGAAACAACCGGGAAUGGAAAGAGUGAUGGGAGACAAGAAGCUUCAGAAAUAAAGUGAAAGAGAAGAAAAAGGAACUGCCAAACGAAAUUUCAUAUCUUCAGAAUUCUUAUUCUACCCUCGUCAGUUUUUAAAAAACCCAUUUUCAUUUAAAAGAAAAAAGCCAAUAGAAAUUUGACACCUGGCCGGUGUGAAAUUUGUGUCAAAUAAAGGUGUUAAAGAAACAUUUUCGAUAGAAAAAUAGUGAUACUUACCUCCCACAUCGCACCUCACUCUCGCAAAUGGCAACAUUUCACCGGAGACCCCACACCACUACAACACAUAUAACCUGCACAUGCAUGCGUCUCAACAAAGGGAAAGGUUCAAAUAAAAUACAAAGAAUGAAAUUAAAAAAAAUGAUGAGGUACAAGAAGAAAUUGAUGAGUGCAGAAAGCAAUUGCUCCCAUAUAAACAACCAAUAUAUUGAAAUAAAAUUAUUAACACCUUUU
rnacentral:lncRNA from 1 species